GGAGACGUGGCCGAGUGGUUAUGGCGUGUGACUCAAGCUAUCAGCUUCGCUAUCGUAGAUAGCGUGCAUUCUCAUGGAGCAAUCCGCAGGGGUUCGAAUCCCCUCGUCUUCA